rnacentral:lncRNA from 1 species
CACACUACUUUCAGAGCUUCCCACUCUUCAAAGGCUUUCUGCAAUAAAGGCUUCCAGCAGAAGAACAUAUGUGGAAUAACAAAGCUCAGUAAAAUCCAACUAAAUGAAAAGGAAGGUGACAGGCAGGAAUCCUAAAUCAAAAGAAAUGCUGUGAACAGGAUGCAGCUUUCUGAGGUCCUUAGAAAUAGAAAGAUUCUUUUGGAAACCCUGCUGGACUGAAGACCUAGACUGAGAUUCCCCGACUCUAAUAAAAAUAUGGCAUAGCAAAGUGCUGGCUAAAUGGUGCCUAAGCAGUCAAACACAUUGUCCUGACCCAUAUUGAGAGCUGUUGCUACUGCAACUUUGGCUACCUCUAUCAGCAGUGGCUACGGUCAUAGUGAGCAAGAGGAAUAUAAGAACCACUGAUCUGGAUGAUUUUACUUCAUCUGAAAACUGAGGUAAUGUGUUCUUACAUUUCUCUAGGAGAAACAGGAGUGCAGUAAGGAGCUGGAAGAAUCUGCAGAGCUGAUUGGAACAAUGUAAGGUAUGUAGUGGAAAGAGAAUAUAAGCAGUGUUAACUGGGUAAAAAUAGAACAGGAGGCCAUAACCUAAACAAAAAAUCAUAUUUAAUGUGUUACAUUUGGUGCUUUAUUUACCCAUUCUCCUAAUAAAUACAGUAAGACUAAAACACUAAGCAGAAAUACCACUAUUGAAAAAAAUCAUAGAGGACAGCUGCAUGGUACUGUGAGAGAAACAUUCAAGACCCAGAAAUACCAAUGCAUUAAAGGAUCUAAAGGGAUAACAGAAGAUAUUUUUAUGUAUUUCUGAUCACCUUUGCUUAAUAAUAUCUAAGGAAAAUAGAAAAGUGCAUGAAGCAGCUAGCAGUGACCAUUUUAAAAUACUGCUUGCCCAAUCACCCAAGCUGUUGAAUUACACAACUCCUUACUGAAAUAAACAGGAACUGCUGCUGAGCCUUGUAAAUGAGGCCACCUGAGAAAUUGUUGAAUAGCUGAUCUAUAACAAGUAAUUGUAAGGGAGUUGUAAAUUCAGAUAACACUUAAGUGGGUGGCUGAGUCUUGGGUACAUUUUACCUGUUUAGCUAUACCCUUUAUAUUUUUUUAGUUGAAGUACACAUCUUAUUUUUGUAAUUACUUUCUCAACGA